rnacentral:rRNA from 1 species
UACGAAGGGGGCUAGCGUUGCUCGGAAUGACUGGGCGUAAAGGGCGCGUAGGCGGCUCAUACAGUCAGGCGUGAAAUUCCUGGGCUCAACCUGGGGACUGCGGUUGAGACGUGUGGGCUUGAGUGGGGAAGAGGGUCGUGGAAUUCCCAGUGUAGAGGUGAAAUUCGUAGAUAUUGGGAAGAACACCGGUGGCGAAGGCGGCGACCUGGUCCAUGACUGACGCUGAGGCGCGAAAGCGUGGGGAGCAAACAGG